GGCGGCCAGCGUGGAAUGCUCCGUGGUUCUCGAUCGUGGGUUGGCUUCUCUGCCCCUUACCUCCCCCUCCCCCGUUCCAAGGGGGAAAGAAUAAUGGACACCACUGAUUGCAUGUCUACUCUGUGUCAGGUGCUGGUUUCUUGCCUGCCAUUUCCCUCAUCCUCACUCUCUGAGGUUGGCACUGUCACCUCCCUUUACCUGUGAAGAAAUGGAGACAGAGGAAAGUUCACUCCCCAGCCCAAGAGCAAGCAGGCACGGCAGAGGAACAGGCUGACCACUGGUGGGAAACACACCUACAAGAUAUUCAUCAUCACUGACAGAAGAACAAUGAAAGACCCUGGAGUCCGUCAUGCCUGAAGGCUGACAUUUCUAAACACCCUCCUUACUGCCCAUUUCCCCUAUAUAACUGCCUGAAGAUUCUGUAAUCCUUGAAGAUGGGUUUUUGAGACAUUAGUCACCCGUCUUCUGAUUUGCCAGCUAAUCUAAUGAAAACUUCCUUUCUCAUCCCUGACUUGUUGUGAUUAACUGGCUCAGAUCACUGUCAGCAGAGUGAGCCCAUUGCUCAGUAUUAAGACGUAAGCAAGUCAUGGAGGAGAAGUUUGUAUUUGGGGUCCCUGAACAUCAGCCAUUUUGUUAUUUGAUCCUUUUUUUCUACCUCUUUCCCAGCAGGAAUCUUCUCUGCCCUCCCCCAGGAAGCCAUAAUCUAGUGAUAAUUCCUUAGCUUUUGACAGUGCAUUACAGUUGAGCAAUCCUUUGC